UACGGAGGGUGCAAGCGUUAUCCGGAUUCACUGGGCGUAAAGGGUGCGUAGGUGGUGAGGUAAGUCGGAUGUGAAAUCUCCGAGCUCAACUCGGAAAUGGCAUUGGAAACUACCUUGCUCGAGGGUUGGAGGGGGGACUGGAAUGCUUGGUGUAGCAGUGAAAUGCGUAGAUAUCAAGCGGAACACCAGUGGCGAAGGCGAGUCCCUGGACAACUCCUGACACUGAGGCACGAAAGCUAGGGGAGCAAACAGG
rnacentral:rRNA from 1 species